UACGGAGGGGGCUAGCGUUGUUCGGAAUUACUGGGCGUAAAGCGCUUGUAGGCGGCACGUCAAGUCGCGUGUGAAAUCCCCAGGCUUAACCUGGGAAGUGCGCGCGAAACUGACGAGCUUGAGUGCCGGAGAGGGUCGCGGAAUUCCCGGUGUAGAGGUGAAAUUCGUAGAUAUCGGGAGGAACACCAGUGGCGAAGGCGGCGACCUGGACGGACACUGACGCUGAGACGCGAAAGCGUGGGGAGCAAACAGG
rnacentral:rRNA from 1 species